rnacentral:rRNA from 1 species
AUUGAACGCUGGCGGUAUGCUUAAGACAUGCAAGUCGAACGGUAACAGGUUAAGCUGACGAGUGGCGGACGAGUGAGUAACGCGUGGGAACCUGCCCUUUGGUUGGGGAUAACUGCGGGAAACUGCGGCUAAUACCCGAUGCACCCGAGAGGGGAAAGAUUUAUCGCCGAAGGAUGGGCCCGCGUCGGAUUAGGUAGUUGGUGGGGUAACGGCCUACCAAGCCUUCGAUCCGUAGCUGGUCUGAGAGGAUGAUCAGCCACACUGGGACUGAGAUACGGCCCAGACUCCUACGGGAGGCAGCAGUGGGGAAUAUUGGACAAUGGGCGCAAGCCUGAUCCAGCAAUGCCGCGUGAGUGAAGAAGGCCUUAGGGUUGUAAAGCUCUUUCGGCGGGGACGAUGAUGACGGUACCCGCAGAAGAAGCCCCGGCUAA